CCCUUAGAUGUUCUGGGCUGCACGCGCGCUACACUGACGCACGCAACAGGUGCCUGCUCCGAGAGGACUGGGUAAUCAUUUGAGUGUGCGUCGUGAUGGGGAUAGAAUAUUGUAAUUAUUACUCUUCAACGAGGAAUUCCUAGUAAGCGCAAGUCAGCAGCUUGCGCUGAUUACGUCCCUGCCCUUUGUACACACCGCCCGUCGCUCCUACCGAUGGGUGAUCCGGUGAAUGAUUCGGACUUCAGCGGUUCCUCUGGGGUGCGCCGGAGAAAGUUUUGUGAACCUUAUCACUUGGAGGAAGGAGAAGUCGUAACA
rnacentral:rRNA from 1 species